rnacentral:rRNA from 1 species
UACGUAGGGGGCAAGCGUUGUCCGGAUUUAUUGGGCGUAAAGAGCGUAUAGGCGGCCAGGUAGGUCAGCUGUGAAAACUCGAGGCUCAACCUCGAGCUGUCGGCUGAAACCAUCUGGCUAGAGUCCGGAAGAGGAGAAUGGAAUUCCCGGUGUAGCGGUGAAAUGCGCAGAUAUCGGGAAGAACACCCGUGGCGAAAGCGCACUUCUGGGUUGUUACUGACGCUGAGGUACGAAAGCGUGGGGAGCAAACGGG